UUGAAUCCUUCUUGUCGAGCAAUUUCAGGAGAGCAAUCAUAGCUGUGUAUUGAGUAUUCAUCAUCACUGUAAAAGAGCAUGUAUCAAACCCAUGAAGAAACCUGCAGCAAAACACACCAGUCAGUUGUCAUCUUGAGAAUUUCUUUUGAGUUCCACUUUUUACACCAAGAGUCACAUGAGGCUCUCAAAUGGUCAGUUUAUGUGUUUAUUGCACACAAUCUUGAGUAAGCAGAAGCGCUGUGUUUUUUUUUCUUUCACCAGCCCAGGUUGUGCCCCGCAUUUCACCUGCAAUCCCAUGAGGGCAAGUGCAAAAGAAAAAGGAUGGCUGCAUGGAUGAUGAAUGGUUUUGUCUUUCAGUGGAAAGCUUCAGUGAAUGAUGGUGCACAUUC